UGCCAGCAGCCGCGGUAAUACGAAGGGUGCAAGCGUUGCUCGGAUUUACUGGGCGUAAAGCGACCGCAGGCGGUUUGUCAGGUCCGAUGUGAAAGCCCGGGGCUCAACCUCGGAAGUGCAUCGGAAACCGGCAGACUUGAGUACGAGAGAGGAGAGCGGAAUUCCUGGUGUAGAGGUGAAAUUCGUAGAUAUCAGGAGGAACACCAGCGGCGAAGGCGGCUCUCUGGCUCGAUACUGACGCUCAUGGUCGAAAGCGUGGGGAGCAAACAGGAUUAGAUA
rnacentral:rRNA from 1 species